rnacentral:rRNA from 1 species
GAAGGGUGCAAGCGUUAAUCGGAAUUACUGGGCGUAAAGCGCGCGUAGGUGGUUCAGUAAGUUGGAAGUGAAAUCCCCGGGCUCAACCUGGGAACUGCUUUCAAAACUGCUGAGCUAGAGUACGGUAGAGGGUGGUGGAAUUUCCUGUGUAGCGGUGAAAUGCGUAGAUAUAGGAAGGAACACCAGUGGCGAAGGCGACCACCUGGACUGAUACUGACACUGAGGUGCGAAAGCGUGGGGAGCAAAC